rnacentral:lncRNA from 1 species
UUUUCGUUUGAUCUAUUCUAUGGCCCAAUUCUAAAUAGCAUGUUAUUGUUGCCACUGGCCCAAUUCUAAAGAGACUAUCACGGGUGUUUUCAAAACCUCAAACCAACACUUAUAUAACAUUAAUGAAACGGAAGUUUGCCUUUGAGAGGCAGUGAGAUCCACGCGCUCAAACUUUCUCUCCCAAAUCUAGUUUUAUCUUUACGACAGGGUUCCGGUGCCGGUUCGUAUGGAGGUCUCCCACCAUCCCUUUUCCUUCGGACUUCGCUUUACAUGAUAGAACAGACGUGGCUCAGUCUAUCGGAGGAAUCUGGCUUCUCUCUCCGUGUGUCGGUGGAACCAUUGGUGCGGCGGUUCCCUAAGAGAGCUCUGGGACUCUGGUGACCAUGUCGGACCCUGCUAGUUGGUCAUUGGGGUCUUGGGGUUCAUCCCGAUUGUUGUGAGUUUGAUUUUUGUUGACGGCGGACCUUACCUAGUAGUCGCGGUUCGCUGGGAUCUGUAACCUCCGGUGCGAAAGAUGCUUUUUACCGGCAUGAUUGAAGACGUGUAGAUCCUCGGCCCGUGGGAAGGCGAGCUUCAACUGCGGCGGCUAGGGUUCUUGGGAUUCGGAUCUCCCCCUUGGGAACCAGCGUUGGUGGCCGUGGGACAGCUCCGACAGUGGUUAUACACUGAAGAUACACCAUCAACGAACCGUUCUGCUGGUUUUGGACACCCGGCUACGGCGGGGGGGGGGUUGGGGGCCGGCGGUUGUGGAUUUGGAAUCUACUGGAGUUCAAUCGGAGCGGGUAGUAAUGCCCUUUUGUCUUCUUUCCCUCCCCCAAUUUGUUCUCUCUUUGUUCUGAGUUGUUCAUUGUUGUUAGAUUUUGUUAAGCUUCUCCUCGUAAUCUAGGAUCUACCGUUUCUCGAUUUACAGGAAACGUCUUUGUUCUGAUGUUUCAUUUUCAAAG